rnacentral:rRNA from 1 species
AUUCCAGCUCCAAUAGCGUAUAUUAAAGUUGUUGCGGUUAAAAAGCUCGUAGUUGGAUUUCUGCUGAGGACGACCGGUCCGCCCUCUGGGUGAGUAUCUGGCUCGGCCUUGGCAUCUUCUUGGGGAACGUAACUGCACUUGACUGUGUGGUGCGGUAUCCAGGACUUUUACUUUGAGGAAAUUAGAGUGUUUCAAGCAGGCGCACGCCUUGAAUACAUUAGCAUGGAAUAAUAAGAUAGGACUUAGUCGUUAUUUUGUUGGUCUUGCACGUCUAGGUAAUGAUUAAUAGGGAUAGUUGGGGGUAUUCAUAUUUAAUUGUCAGAGGUGAAAUUCUUGGAUUUAUGAAAGAUGAACUUAUGCGAAAGCAUUUACCAUGGAUGUUUUCAUUG